rnacentral:misc_RNA from 1 species
GGCUUCUCGAUCCCAAGCCCUCAGGUAUACAUGUCUAGGUUAUUCAUAUUUUCUUUUUCAUUCCUAGACAUUUAGGACUUCUAACAUAGCUAGAUGCUCUCUGAUCUAACAUGCUAUAGUUUAGGCUUCUAUCGAAUUUUCAAGGUUGAUGCUAAAAAUCUUUGUAAUCAAUAGCUAUUUGUUUAUCAUCGUAGUUUUUGUUUCAUGUAUUAUUAUGUCAGUUAAGAAAUUGUUUCAGCAUUAUACUGACUGGUAACUUCUUCAGAUAUCUAUACGUUCG